UUUUAUUCAAGUAGCUAUUAAUCCCUUUGUAAUAAAUUAAUGACUAUGUUAUCAUUAUGUCUUUGCUGUGUUUUGUUUUGUUCUGCUGUACUUGUUCUUUUAUGCAUUCCGGACCUGAGAUUGGUUAGGUUCCUAGGCUUGACAUGCAUUGCCUCCUAGUAUGCAAGCUGCAAUAUCUUCUCUAGAACUACUUGCAUCUCAACAUUAUUUGUUUAAACUUUGAUGAAGUUAUUGAUUGCGGUAAUUGCUGCUUAUUUCAGUGUCAGACUUCAACCUUAGGAUUUUGUGCAGCGAUUUUCACAAAUAAACACUUUCAAGCGAUAAAAGUUUUGGAGUUUGCACCCUUACAUAAUUCAAAAUGGCUAUGAAAUUCAGCUUGAAUGGCAACGUGGCAGAUUGUUUGAUAUAAAUGCUGCUUCAAAUGCUCUAGUAUUUGGACCUCAGAUAGCUAUGCAACUAGCUGAACACUCUAGGUUAUGCUGGGAACAGAUGCAGCUGACCAUCCUCCCAUUACCCCCAAUGAGAUCAGCAGCAGAAGAUAUGCUGGGCAAUGAUCCUUGGAAGCUGUACCAAUAUAUAUCUAGAUUUCUUGAGGUCGUGUACACAAUAUGGCCGCCAUAAAUUAUGUAAUUGUAUCUACUGAUAGGAGAUAUGCGUGUAUUUUAAUCUUGAUAAUUUAAGAUUAAA
rnacentral:sRNA from 1 species